GUCUCGGUCUCUUGGGUGGUCGCGUCAAUCCCGGACGAGCCCACAAAUGAAAGACCCCCGAAGGGAGAAGCUCACUCAAGCCUCGGGAUGUGGUGUACACAAAAAGCUAUUUAAUAA
rnacentral:pre_miRNA from 7 species